CACCCACUCCGAUUGGCUCGCAGACCCCGUCCGUCAAGUGCGAGGGGCGCAUUCUUUUCCCAUGGACUUGACGGAUCCGGAACCUCUAGGACCCCGGAGUCUGGAGAAACAAAUCAGAAACCGAGAGAAACCUGGCUGGGUCCCCCUACGCCGUAGCAACAGCAGGGCCUCCGCUUGACGGACGCUUCGGACCACCAAUCCGAUAGCCAAUGCUUUUUAAAACUAAAUUGAGCCAAACCAAUCAUGGCCGCAGCUCUGGGAGUUUCAAGAGAACCAAUGGGGUAGCGAGACCGGUGGGCAGGCGGGUCGGAGGGCCUGGAGGAAACGGGUGAUGACGUGAGCCACAAUGUGUUUCGGCGGCGGAAGUGUUUUCGAGCUGGGGAAUUAGCUCAAAUGGUAGAGCGCUCGCUUAGCAUGUGAGAGGUAGCGGGAUCGACGCCCGCAUUCUCCACGGUUGAAUUUUAUAAAGGUUGAGGGGUCGCCCGUUGGGGAUGGUCACUUUGUUCUCAAAGGCGGCGACAGUACCAGGAGUUACAGGGGCAAAGUGAGGGGCCAGGUGUCCCAAUUUGUGCGCCCAGCUCCGUGAGGGACUCGAAGUACAGAAAGGCGGGGGUUUUUGUUUUGCCUCGCGGAAGGAUUUACGCAAGAGCUUCUUAGAAUCUAGCGGGCACUUGGUCUGUGCCCAGCCUGCGGGGGUGCGCAGGGAGCAGACGGUCCCGGCUUUGACGUCUGUGGGAGACGUCAGACUCCACCUGGGCAACACCAGGUUUUGGUGUUUUGGCCGCGAGGCACGCGGUAUCUUAGCUCCCUGAGCUAAGGGAUCCAACCCGCGCCCCCUGCAGAGGAAGGUGAAGUCUUAACCACUGGACCACCGGGGAAGUUCCCCCGCCCCCCCACCCCACCCCAGCACUGUCCUGACGGGCAGCAGCGGCCCUGGGCCAGCGCGCACAGGUCAGACAGUAGCAAGGACCAGCCAGGAACAGCCCAAAGCCCAGGUAUGUAACCUGCAGAGCCCAAUGCGAAAUGAAAAUGCAGGGCCUCGGUCUUCAAAAUUAUUUAGAAUUUCGGGACGGCAACAGCAGAGCAUGAAAUCAAGCAUCAGGUCGUGCACGAGUCAGGCAUCCACGGAGCUGACCCGCCCGCAGGCCUCUGCCCAGAGGUCUCACCCCUCCCUGUGGGAGCCUGAUGGCAAGACGCCCAUGCCCAGGACAAGUGCACGACUCCGACAGCUGUCCAGGGAGGGCCAGAGGUCAGCGUUCACUCCGUGGGGACACUCAGCUCCAACACACACGGCAUGAAAGAAUGGCAAUGAUGUUUUAAAAAAUUAGGUUUAUAAAUAUUUUCUCCAUUGUACAAAGUUUUCCCCACCCUGCCCACCCCCC